GUUGCAGCAACAACUGAACGGAGAGCAAAGAAAGAAAAACCAGUAGCUAGCCUCGAGUUUGGAUCUCCUGAUGGCAAUCCUCAGAAGGAGCAGGAACGCCCUGUGCUUGGUGGCCCUAGUGAUCAUGGCUACCUGCACCGUUCUGUCAUCAGCUAAUGGACCGCCUGGUACAAUCAAUUGCAUGCCGCCGACUGGCAGCUGCGACCCGGCGCACUGCACUAAAUUUUGCGCGCCGAACUAUCAUGGUCAUUGCGCGGUGGGCGGCAUAGGGGCCCCAUCUUGUUGCUGCUACAAUCCGACGAGUGCGUCAGUUGGGGUGGCUCACCCUGCUGCACCCUCACAUGCAUGAAGGACGUUCGCAUGAAUCAACGAUCGAUGUAUGGCUCAAAAUCAUCGAAUGGAAUAAUAAUAAACUUCAUUA